GCUCAGGACGAACGCUGGCGGCGUGCUUAACACAUGCAAGUCGAGCGGAAAGGCCCUUCGGGGUACUCGAGCGGCGAACGGGUGAGUAACACGUGAGUAACCUGCCCCAAACUUUGGGAUAACCCUCGGAAACGGGGGCUAAUACCGGAUACGACCUUGGACCGCAUGGUCUUUUGGUGGAAAGUUUUUCGGUUUGGGAUGGGCUCGCGGCCUAUCAGCUUGUUGGUGGGGUGAUGGCCUACCAAGGCGACGACGGGUAGCCGGCCUGAGAGGGCGACCGGCCACACUGGGACUGAGACACGGCCCAGACUCCUACGGGAGGCAGCAGUGGGGAAUAUUGCACAAUGGGCGGAAGCCUGAUGCAGCGACGCCGCGUGAGGGAUGACGGCCUUCGGGUUGUAAACCUCUUUCAGCAGGGACGAAGCGCAAGU
rnacentral:rRNA from 1 species